UGGGGAAUUUUGGACAAUGGGGGAAACCCUGAUCCAGCCAUCCCGCGUGUGCGAUGAAGGCCUUCGGGUUGUAAAGCACUUUUGGCAGGAAAGAAACGUCAUGGGUUAAUACCCCGUGAAACUGACGGUACCUGCAGAAUAAGCACCGGCUAACUACGUGCCAGCAGCCGCGGUAAUACGUAGGGUGCAAGCGUUAAUCGGAAUUACUGGGCGUAAAGCGUGCGCAGGCGGUUCGGAAAGAAAGAUGUGAAAUCCCAGAGCUCAACUUUGGAACUGCAUUUUUAACUACCGGGCUAGAGUGUGUCAGAGGGAGGUGGAAUUCCGCGUGUAGCAGUGAAAUGCGUAGAUAUGCGGAGGAACACCGAUGGCGAAGGCAGCCACCUGGGAUAACACUGACGCUCAUGCACGAAAGAGUGGGGAGCAAACAGG
rnacentral:rRNA from 1 species